UUGGAGUGGUUGUUGUUGUUGUUGUUGUGUCAGUGGCUGGAGUUGAUUGUGAAGUGGAGGUCGUUCCUAUUGUAGUAGUGGUUGAUUCCGUUGUUGUUGGAGUGGUUGUUGUUGUUGUGUCGGUGCCUGAAGUAGUUUGAGAAGUGGAGGUCAUUCCUGUUGUAGUAGAGGUUGAUUCCGUUGUUGUUGGAGUGGUUGUUGUUGUUGUGUCGGUGCCUGAAGUAGUUUGUGAAGUGGAGGUCGUUCCUGUUGUAGUAGAGGUUGAUUCCGUUGUUGUUGGAGUUGUUGUUUUUGUUUUGUCGGUGCCUGAAGUAGUUUGUGAAGUGGAGGUCGUUCCUGUUGUAGUAGUGGUUGAUUCCGUUGUUGUUGGAUUUGUUAUUUUUGUUGUUGUGUCGGUGCCUGGAGUAGUUUGUGAUGUGAAAGUCGUUCCUGUUGUAGUAGUGGUUGAUUCUGUUGUUGUUAGAGUGGUUGUUGUUGUAGUUUGGUUGCCUGA